rnacentral:misc_RNA from 1 species
GAUGAAGAACGCAGCGAAAUGCGAUAAGUAAUGUGAAUUGCAGAAUUCAGUGAAUCAUCGAAUCUUUGAACGCACAUUGCGCCCGCCAGUAUUCUGGCGGGCAUGCCUGUCUGAGCGUCAUUUCAACCUUCAUGCCCCUAGGGCGUGGUGUUGGGGAUCGGCCAAAGCCCGCGAGGGACGGCCGGCCCCUAAAUCUAGUGGCGGACCCGUCGUGGCCUCCUCUGCGAAGUAGUGAUAUUCCGCAUCGGAGAGCGAUGAGCCCCUGCCGUUAAACCCCCAACUUUCCAAGGUUGACCUCAGAUCAGGUAGGAAUACCCGCUGAACUUAAGCAUAUCAAUAAGCGGAGGA